GUUGUUCGAUGUUUUUGCUUUGCCCCGAAAUGCGACAUGUUUUCAGAGGGAAGAUGCUUGUUUUAUGGCUUCACUGACACGGAGACUCUCUGCACCAUAAGAUUGUCCUGGCCUCAAAUGGACUGAUAUUGAAGUUAUGCUCAGACUCCUUGCUAUGCAAACAGGGAGAGGGUAGGGGAUGUCGCUCUGUGUCAAGCUCUCCUGACAGUCUUGAGUCUGCAUCAACAACAUCCUAAUCAAGACGUGAUACUGGGGAGCAUUUUGAAGCAGCCAAUCUUUGUUCGCCGUGUAGUCGCUGUUAAUGUUUUUUAUUUAGUCAGGGUCCUCUGUUACAUUGCAGUCUCUGGGGCAAAUAGCAGCAUCUGGCUUCCCUGAGGGGAACGAGACCAGAACAGGGCUCUCCUGAGCCCUCAAACCGACACAACACUGCCACUAUCACUGUAAACUGUCCUAUCUGGAAUCAGGAGGGAAGUGGGAG